UAGUUAACUUUGAAACUGCGAAUGGCUCAUUAUAUCAGUUAUAGUUUAUUUGAUGAAGAAUACUAAUUGGAUAACCGUAGUAAUUCUAGAGCUAAUACAUGUAUAAAGUCUUGUAGACUGCAUUUAUUAGAAUGAAAACCAUAGGUUUCGGCCUAUUCGUGAGUAAUAAUAACUAAUCAUAUCGUAUGCUUAUGUAACGAUGUGUCUUUCAAGUUUCUGCCCUAUCAGCUUUCGAUGGUAGUGUAUUGGACUACCAUGGCAGUAACGGGUAACGAAGA
rnacentral:rRNA from 1 species